rnacentral:rRNA from 1 species
UACGUAGGUGGCAAGCGUUGUUCGGAAUUACUGGGCGUAAAGCGCGUGUAGGCGGCUCUUCAAGUCAGACGUGAAAGCCCCGGGCUUAACUCGGGAACUGCGUUUGAUACUGUCGAGCUAGAGUGUGGAAGGGGCGAUUGGAAUUCCGUGUGUAGCGGUGAAAUGCGUAGAUAUACGGAGGAACACCGAUGGCGAAGGCAGGUCUCUGGGCUGAAACUGACGCUCAUGCACGAAAGCGUGGGGAGCAAACAGG